GGGGGGGGGGGGGGGGGGGGGUGAGGCGUGCGGGGCGGGCGGGGGGGCGGGGGUCGGGGGGUGCUGGGGUGGGGGGCGGGUGGGUAAGACGUGAGUAGCCUGCCCUUGUCUUUGGGGUGGCUUCCGUAGGCUGGGGCUAGUACCGGCUAGGCGCUCCUGCUUCCUGCUUGGUGUUGGAGAGUUUCGGCGGUUGGGGGUGUCGUCGCGGCUUAUCCGCUUUUUUGUUGGGUAUUGGCUUAGCAAGGUUUUGACGGGUAGCCGGCCUGAGAGGGUGACCGGCCACAUUGGGACUGAGAGACGGCCCAGACUCCUACGGGAGGCAGCAGUGGGGAAUAUUGCACAAUGGGUGGAAGCCUGAUGCAGCAACGCCGUGUGCGGGAUGACGGCCUUCGGGUUGUAAACCGCUUUCGCUCAUGACGAAGCUUUGUGUGACGGUAGUGGGUAAAGAAGCACCGGCUAACUACGUG
rnacentral:rRNA from 1 species